rnacentral:rRNA from 1 species
GAUGAACGCUAGCGAUAGGCUUAACACAUGCAAGUCGAGGGGCAUCGAGGGUAGCAAUACCUGUCGGCGACCGGCGCACGGGUGAGUAACGCGUAUGUAACCUGCCCGCAACAGAGGGAUAACCCGGCGAAAGUCGGACUAAUACCUCAUAAAACAGGGGUUCCGCAUGGGGCUAUUUGUUAAAGAUUUAUUGGUUGCGGAUGGGCAUGCGUACCAUUAGGUAGUUGGUGAGGUAACGGCUCACCAAGCCAUCGAUGGUUAGGGGUUCUGAGAGGAAGGUCCCCCACACUGGUACUGAGACACGGACCAGACUCCUACGGGAGGCAGCAGUGAGGAAUAUUGGUCAAUGGGCGAGAGCCUGAACCAGCCAAGUCGCGUGAAGGAUGACUGCCCUAUGGGUUGUAAACUUCUUUUACAGGGGAAUAAAAUGAGAUACGUGUAUUUUAUUGCAUGUACCUUGUUACGACUUAGCCC